rnacentral:rRNA from 1 species
GAUGAACGCUGGCGGCGUGCCUAAUACAUGCAAGUCGAGCGAACGGACGAGAAGCUUGCUUCUCUGAUGUUAGCGGCGGACGGGUGAGUAACACGUGGAUAACCUACCUAUAAGACUGGGAUAACUUCGGGAAACCGGAGCUAAUACCGGAUAAUAUUUUGAACCGCAUGGUUCAAAAGUGAAAGACGGUCUUGCUGUCACUUAUAGAUGGAUCCGCGCUGCAUUAGCUAGUUGGUAAGGUAACGGCUUACCAAGGCAACGAUGCAUAGCCGACCUGAGAGGCUGAUCGGCGACACUGGAGCUGAGACACGGUCCAGACUCCUACGGGAGGCAGCAGUAGGGAAUCUUCCGCAGUGGGCGAAAGCCUGACGGAGCGACGCCGCGUGAGUGAUGAAGGUCUUCGGAUCGUAAAACUCUGUUAUUAGGGAAGAACAUAUGUGUAAGUAACUGUGCACAUCUUGACGGUACCUAAUCAGAAAGCCACGGCUAACUACGUG